rnacentral:sRNA from 1 species
UCAGUUCAUUGUGUGUCUGUCUUUAUGC